rnacentral:rRNA from 1 species
GAUCAUGGCUCAGGAUGAACGCUGGCGGCGUGCCUAACACAUGCAAGUCGAACGAGAUGCGUAUUGGAAAGCUUCGGCCGGAAGAUACGUUAUCUAGUGGCGGACGGGUGAGUAACACGUGGGUAACCUGCCUUAUGGAGGGGGAUAACAGAGAGAAAUCACUGCUAAUACCGCAUAAGCACACAGUACCGCAUGGUACAGGGUGAAAAGAUUUAUCGCCAUAAGAUGGACCCGCG